GACAAAGAUGUUGAGAAAAUGAUAUUGGAGAAUCAAAGAAAUGGAAGUGAAAAAUCCCACCUUUAUUGUUAUACUAUUUUUUAUUUGCCGAACCUCUACACUAUGACAUAAUUGCCAUUCAACUUUGGAGCAUUCACUCGUAUUGUUCAGUGGGUUGGGGUGGUGAUACUGUAGAUACAAACUAAUAGCCACUAUAAUUGAGUGUUACACAGAAUUUGGUCUGCCUAAUUCACUGUGUUCGCCCUAAUACUCGACCACAAUGGCCAGAAGCUAAGGCGAUCACAAGGUAAGUCCUCAGUUCUUGUGGAUGACUGCGUAAACUCUUCAUGGUACUCCAACCGGUGCAAUGUUCCAUAUGUCCCUGGCAUACUC
rnacentral:lncRNA from 1 species